CUGUUUAGCUAAAAAAUGUUAAUCGGAAGAAGCAAAAGUGGAUGGCGUGGUGCCAGUAAGAUGGUAUCGAUAUGAUCUAGUCUCAAUUAAGUUAGUCGCAGACAAAAAAUAAAACCUGUAAACAAUUUCUCUCUAUAUUUACUUGUUCAAGUGCCAGUGAAAGGAACGAUAGAAAAAAAGAAGCAUUCAAACUGUUCGCAAAAUUUUUGGUUUGGAUACAAAAAACCAAGUGAAAAUGUUAUUGGA